CUCAGUUCGGACUGCAGGCUGCAACUCGCCUGCACGAAGUUGGAAUUGCUAGUAAUCGUGGAUCAGCAUGCCACGGUGAAUACGUUCCCGGGUCUUGUACACACCGCCCGUCACACCAUGGGAGCCGGUAAUACCCGAAGUCAGUAGUCUAACCGCAAGGAGGACGCUGCCGAAGGUAGGAUUGGCGACUGGGGUGAAGUCGUAACAAGGUAUC
rnacentral:rRNA from 1 species